AGAGUACGUGAAACCGUUUAGGGGUAAACCUGAGAAACCCGAAAAGUCGAAGGGUGAAAUUCAUCGCGGUUCGACGUCGGAGACGAGCGAGCGACGCAACUAAGAGACGACGCGUCUUCGGACGCGACGCUCCGUCCGCCCGUCGAGUCGACGACGAACGCGUGCACUUUUCACCUGGUAGGACGUCGCGAUCCGUUGGGUGUCGGUCUACGGUCGACGGUGGCGACCGCGCGCCCGUUUUUCGGAACGUGCGCGCGCGGACCCGUCGGUAAUUCCCGGCCGACUCGCCCGACGGUAUACGAACGGUUGGGGGCCGCUUUUAAAGCGUCCGACUCGCGGCAAGCGCGCCGGUUGUUUGUCGGCGAUCGGACCUAGCGCCGAUUCCGACCUCCGGUGACUGUUGGCCGCGAAGUUCUCGGACAGACCCUCCUCGAUAUAAAACCGAUCUGCGACGCUAUAGCUUUGGGUACUUUCAGG
rnacentral:rRNA from 1 species